GUGUCAGCCGCCGCGGUAAUACGGAUGGUGCAAGCGUUGUUCGGAAUUACUGGGCGUAAAGGGCGCGUAGGCGGCCUGAUAAGUCAGAUGUGAAAGCCCACGGCUCAACCGUGGAAGUGCAUCUGAAACUAUCAAGCUUGAGUAUGGGAGAGGAAAGUGGAAUUCCCGGUGUAGAGGUGAAAUUCGUAGAUAUCGGGAGGAACACCAGUGGCGAAGGCGACUUUCUGGACCAAUACUGACGCUGAG
rnacentral:rRNA from 1 species